GAAAAGAGUGGACAACCUUGUCUUGUUCCUGAUUUCAGUGGGAUCGCUAAGCUGUUGGAAUUGGAUGGGACAGUGAUGAUCCUACCCAGAAGAAUCCUGGCAAUAGGCUUCCCAAGCUACAGUGAGCAGAAUGGAGGCUUUGGAACAACAGCUCAAGCUUAAUGCACUCACACAAUCCUCCUGCUUUAUAUUUCAGGUCUACCAAAAGAUACUGUCAUGUAUACCUCUGUACUGACUCACUCCCAGAACUAUGUUCACAUAAGAAGAAAACUCAGUCAAAUGUGCCAGCUCACACUCAAGCAUAUGGCCAGCUGACACAGAAAGAUUACUGACAGAAUCAAGUAUAGGAAACAAAAUAAGUCCCAGCUAACUUCAACUACACUGUGAAAACCCAUCCUAAAAUAUUAAAAUACUAAGUCCAUAGACCCA